rnacentral:lncRNA from 1 species
AUCACAGCCUAUGCGCAACAAGGCACAUUCUCACUCCAACAAGCCAAAACCAUGGACAGGCACCUCACAAAGUCCUUUGAAAUCCCUGCAGGCUCCAUGUCAGUCUUCACCGUAGUCACUGUGCUCGCCACGAUCGCAUUGUACGACCGCCUCUUCAUUCCGGUGGCUAGAAAGUUCACCGGGCUAGACCGGGGAAUAACAUUCCUCCACAGAAUGGGAAUAGGGUUUGUCAUUUCGGUAUUUGCCACAUUGGUCGCCGGGUUUGUCGAAAUGAAGCGAAAAAAGGCGGCUUUCGCACACGGGUUGAUCGAUCAUCCUCAUGAUGUAAUCCCUAUUUCAGUGUUUUGGUUAGUUCCUCAGUAUGCCCUUCAUGGGAUGGCUGAAGCAUUCAUGUCAAUUGGGCAGCUCGAGUUUUUCUAUGACCAGGCGCCGGAGAGCAUGAGAAGCACAGCUGCCGCGCUGUUUUGGACCUCCACCUCGGCCGGGAACUAUGCGAGCACUCUUUUGGUGUCACUGGUGCACAAGUUUAGUGCUGGUCCUAAUGGAUCGAACUGGCUGCCGGAUAAUAAUUUGAACAAAGGGAAGUUGGAGCACUUCUAUUGGUUUAUCACGUUAUUACAAGUUGUUAAUCUUAUUUACUACAUAUUUUGUGCCAAAAUGUAUACGUUUAAGCCGAUUCAGGUCGUAAAGAAAGAAGGUGCCGAGCAUGGGGAAAAGUGGUCCUUGCUAAUCAAGUCCGGCCCUGAGAACUUGGGGGCUCUACGCCAGCUUUCGAAAUGAGGCUCUAGAGUUCUUUACCUUUUACACAUUGAUUGUAUAAAAAUUAAUUCGCUAAAUUCGUGAAAAAAAAAUAUAUUAUUACAUGUCUUGCAUUUUUAGAUGCAAAUGUACUAAUUAAGUUUACAUAAUCUAAUUUUUCAACCAAUUUUUUUUCAAUUAAUAAAAUAGCUAACCCAUUCAAAGGGUUUGGCCGUUUAGGGUUUGAUGUCUGGCAAUCUGGGGAGUGCGACAAAAGAAGUAAUCAUCUUUGUUUUUCUAGUCAAUAAGAACAUGUUUAAGUCGCUUGACGUUUCACCUUUCACGUACAAAUAAGUUUGCUUUUUAAUUCAGUUAAUUAUAUAAACAAUCAAAUCUUACAAAUAUUGGGCUCAGCUGCUCAACCCAGUGAGCUAUUGUAUUUAGACAAAAACUCAAAAUCUAUAAACUUCUUGUUUGAACAAAUACAAGCUUUGUGAUAUUGUUGACCCUAAAAACUACCAAGCCUAUGUGGCGCGCAGACCAAGUAAGUAAUGAGCUAAUUACGUCAUUCGGUUGUGUAUGGGGCGUGCUAACUUGAUGGCCGAGCUCGGCUAGUGAGUAAAAUGAGUUGAUAUUGCGUUGAGCGCGCUGCUAACUUUUUAAUCUUGUGACUGCGGCUGAGGAAGGAACACGUCUCGGCCUUCGGGUUCCAGAGCAUGAAGACAAGAUUGCUACUUCUGCGAAGUUCAAUAUCAAAUUCGGUUUUCAAUGUGUCGAAUGUUGUAACUUGUAACACCUCACUUCGUCGAGAAGGUUAAUGAGAUGACCUCUGCCAAUAAGGAUUCGAAAAUCAUUCUCGACCGAGACUUGGAUAGAUAACCAGUCGGCCUCGACGCAGUGCUGUUUAUCCAAACUGAAGGUGCUCCGCGAUCGGCUGAUUCUACAGCAACGGUGCUGUUUGUCCAAAUUGAAGAUGUUCGCCGGUUGCCUUCACAAUGCUGUUUAUCCAAAUUGAAGAUGUGUCGGCGAAAAAGAAAAUAAAAAUCUCAAGGUUGUUGAGAGGUUUCGUGUAGAACGAGAAUUUACGCAGAGCAGUUUGUGUGUUGAAUUGGAAGGGCUUUACACGUUGUUUGCAGCCUUGUAUUUAUAGUAGUCAUAUUUUCUAUUUGGCAUGGCUUGGAUUAUUCCAUAGAGUCCAACUAAAAAUUAAACUCCCUCCACGCACUAACACACGGCAUCACCACCAUAUUUUUACUCUUGAUAAGCCAAUCCCUUUGCUAAUAAUUAUCACAACCUGAAUUGGUGCUAGUCAAGCAGCAUAUUCGAAAUGCUUGAUGCCAACCACACGCAAUAGAACUCUCAUUAAUUUCAAACUCUCCACGUCCACACACAUCCCAACUCAAUUUGAAAUGUACCACUUGCUUAGAGAUAUAAUUUGCAUCUUAUUUAUCCCGUUUAAGAAUACGCCAAGAUAAUUCAUAUUAAAAAAUAAUUACUAUGAUAAAACCAUAAUAUUAUCCUUUAAUAACAAAAUUAGCCUCAUUUUUCCAUCCGACGGUUGGAAGCUAUGCUUACUCAACGGCCUUGAUUGCACGGGCCGUUGAUGUAAAAUUGGGUCCAAACAGAUAUUAAUUUAUAUAUAUAUAUAUAUAUAUUAUAAAAGGUUUAGGAUUUAUACAACACAAUGACAUUUUAAAAUUCAUAUAAUUAACCUCACUUAGUGAGACAAGACCUUAUUGUUGUUAUUAAUAUAUAAAAUAUAAAAAAAAUUGGGGCUUCCAAAGUGAGAGCCUUAGGCGGCUGCCUACUCUAACUACCCUCAUGGGCCACUCUAUUGCCAAUAAGGCUUAAUAUGCUAUCAGUUAAUUAAUUAAUUUGUGUUGGGACAGGUGGUCAUUAGAGCAAGUCCACCCCUAAGAACUUUGCGCCAGCAUCCAGUCCAUUUAUCCACUUAAGUGAACAGUGAUAUACUCUAAUGAACAGUAAUAGACAAAUGCAUCUCCACCCCUAAAAUUAAAUAGCCUAGUCAAUUUUAUUAAUUUUUAUUAUAAAAUAAUAAUUUGGUUUUUUACUUUCUGACUUCUUCCUUUCUUCUUCUUCUGGAAAUUGACCUCCUCCUCACCACACCAUUCUAGAAAUUUUUUACGGUGUAAAAUGACGAGGCUGCCUAUCUCAUCUUCAGAUCCCACGGUUUGGAUGAUGAGUUAAAGGGGUAGAAUCAUCUUUUUAUCAAUAGGGUUUCAGAUUGGGGUUAGUUCCUUCCCCUGUCACUUCGUUCUUUCUUCGGCGCAGGCAAAGCCAUGCCGAUCCUGGCAUGGCAGAGUGGAAGGGAGAUAGUGAGAGAAAGAGCGAGUGACAGUGAGAGAAAGAGAGAGUGGUUGUCCGGAUAAUAGGGAGAGAAAUAGAGAGUGAGGGGUUGGGAUGGUGAACAUAGCCGAUCCUGGUCUCCUCGUCGUCGUCUCGUCGGAGCUCGCAAAGGGAAGGGGGAUAUGGUGUUGAAUAUAUGGAUUUAUCAGGGGAAGGGGGUUGAUGGGCUUCCAGGGAUUGGGUUCCAGGAGUCGGAUGGGGUUCUAGAUGAGAGAGACGGUAGCCAUGAUGUCAACAUGGCGUCAAAUGACCCGUCUCCUUCCUCUGUCGAUUUUAGGCCGGCCUGUAGACCGGCUUGGGUUGGGUGCCAGUCUAUUCCACGGGCUGGAGUGAAUUGGCUGAGUCCCAGCUUGUUUUUUCCACUGAGUGUCGGGCUAUUCCACCUCAGGUGGAACUGCUCUUAGUCAUUGUUCAUAUAGCUAGUAACUAGCUCCUGGUGUUUUAGUGUAUAGAAAUGAAAAGAAUAUCUACUUUGGACUCAAUAAAAUCAUAAUUAAACAUCCAAUUUGUAUGAUCUUUAUACUAUGUAUAUUAAGAUCUUGGAACAAAUGAAUUUGAACAGUGUGCUUCAUACUCUUAUCCGCUAAACCAAGACCUCUAAAUUUUUCUGUUCACAAAAUAUCAACUAUAUAACACAUGUACAUGAUAUAACUGUCACACUCAAAACCAUUAUUAUGAUGAGGAUAUUAUAUGGCCUAAUGUCAUCUUCUUUAUAUAUUAUAAAAUGAGUGAAUGUGAAAUCACGUAUAUUAUGUCAAUUAUAUUAAAAAUAUCAAAUUUUGUUUACCACAUGAUAAGAUAGUGUUUUAUUAAUUUAAAUAUGAGGCGAAUUUAAACUUUACUUCUUAUUAACACAUAAAGCAAUGGCACCUCAUGCCGUGAACAAAUUUACUGCAUAAAUUUGAUUACUGUUGCAUUGCUGAUUUUUUUUUUCCCUAGAGUUAUUUAUUUUACUGGUUUUUUUUAUUGAAAUUUUACUGUAUCUUCAAUUAAUUGUUUUUGGUCAAUGUAUCUUCAAUUUACUUCAAACAAGAAAAAACAUAGGAAAUAACAUAUGGGCAGGAUUCACCAAUUGGACAAACUUAACUAAAAUGAAUCAAUUGUAUAAAGUGUAUUGCUGUUUAAGCAAUACACUACGAGGAAAGUAGAGAUCUUACAGAACUUGAUGAAUGUCCAAUCGUUAAUCUCAUGGUUUGAAAGUGUUUCAGUUUUGUUCUAUCUUCCUAGAAACGUGUGACGCUUUGUUGGAAACAUUUCUACAUUAGUGGCUAAUGAUUUGAUUCCACUCUUUCAAAUGAUUUUAGGGACUCAUGGUUUCUCUGGUUUUAAGUGGUGUCCAACCCGUCAGCUAAAAAAGAAGAAGAUUAUAAGAACCCCUCUGCUGGCCUCCUUUUAUAGUUCUGUUGCAUUUUUUUCUUCACAUUUAACCCUUCUUAGUUUGGAGUUUGGAUUAUGUGGAUUAUCUGUAGCGUACAAGAAAUGGUAAGUUAUAACUUUCCUCGCAGAUCUACUCUCUUCGUUUCUUCUUUCUUCUCGAUUUCUACUUUCAAGUAUUUAUUAUUAUGAGUAUUUGUAAUUUUUUAUCAAAACUAGGUUCACAUCCUUCUUUUUGUUACUCCAUUGAUUCAAAUCCUAUUCUUUUUUCAAUUUUUGAUCAGGUCCUUGGUAUUAAUAACAUCAAUUCAUAAUUGAAUAAUAAAAUAUUUUUAUUUUUAAUAUAUUCCUUUAAUGUUAAAAAUUUGUAAUAUUUCUUUUUAAUUAUUUAUAUUUAUUUGCAAUUUUUUUAAAUUUGUUUUUUAAUUUUGUACAUAUUUUUUUUUUAUUUGCAAUUUUUUUAAUUGUUAUUUUGUAAAAUUAUCCAUAUUUUUAAAUAUUUUAUGUGUUACAUAUGUAUUUUUAAUGAUAGAAAAAUUACAAUGGUAUAUGUUUUAUGCCUAACUUUAUAUCAUAUAUUUAUAUUUUUAGUUUGUACCCACUUUUAAUUUGCAACAUUUUUUUCUUAUAUUUUUAUAUUUCUUUUUUUUAGUUUAUUUUUGUUACCCAUGUAUUAAUUUUUUUUUAGCGCCUAUAUUUUUAAAAAUUCAUUUGUAUUCAUAAUUUUUAAUAUUUUAUCUGUAUCUGUACCCUAAUUUAAUUUUUAAUGUACCCAUUUUCUUAUAUUAAAAUUUGUUAUAUGUGAAAUGUACAUUCAUUUUUUUUUAACAUUUUAUGGAUACAUUCUUUUGCCAUUUAUUAUUAUUUCUUACAUAGUUUUUAUCCAUUUAUUCAAUCAAAAUGUUUAAAUUUUUUUAUUGUAACAUUUCUAAUAGUAUUAUAAUGAGGGAUUUUAAAUUUAUAUUAUUAUAAACUCAAAAAAAUAUUAAACAAUUAAUGUCAAAACUAUAAAAAUAUAAUAUAAUGAGCCAAUAGUCAAACUUUGAAUAAUUAAGGUUUUAAUCAAAGAAUAAGGAUUAAGGAUCACCGCAUCCAAUUAUAAAUAUAAUUAAGAAAAAAAUUAGUAGGCUAAGACAAGAAAUUAGUAGGCUUAGGAUCAUGAUCUCUCACAAAGAAUGGGAUCUGUGCAUUCUGGAUUGUAAUUUUGUGAGAUCAAAUGCUAUCCAAAAUCCAAAUACAAGAAAACCCAUUGUAAGAGUGCCUUGACUAGUCACUUGGUAAGGCGUUCUUUUUUUUCUUUUUAACCGCACAUUUAAUGUAUUUCUCCACGUGAAGAUGCCGUCGUGAAAUAGCCGAUUAAAAAUGGACCACGACCUCACAUUUAAAUUUCUGUUGAGUUCCGUCUUGGUCCAGAUACAAUCACAAUAUAAAUCAGGAAGACCACAAAUUCUGUGGAUGCAGGACUAGAAAUUUAGAGUCAUGCAUUGCGGCGUUGCAAUUUCAUAGUGGGAACCCAUGAUUUUGAAUCUUAUUUGCAUGCAGUCGCCGUCGCAAUAUUUUCCAAAUUAGCCAUAUAUGAAUACAAAGCCACGCAAAAACAAAAAAAAAAAUAUUAAUAAUCGACGAGAAAAUGUGAUGAUCGGCAGUGCCUACAUAGCCUUACCUUCACAAGAAUUUACACUACCAUAAACACGAAGAAAACCGAGGAUAGAAUUCACAAACAAAGUGAGAAAAAAAAAAUUGAGUUUUAUACUUUUGCAAGAGGUGCUCUAGAAAUGUGAUAAAACUUCGGUUAGAGUUCUGGGACCGACGUGGAAUCAGCUAAUUAUGUUAAAAUUCAGAAAGUCUUGCUCCUUCUUGUUAUACUCGUAGUCAAUCCUGCUUAGCAUGCGAGUUAAUUAUAUACACAUAUAUAAUCUUUCUAAGAGUUGCUUACUUUCGCCCUAACAAGAUAUUUUAGUUUACUCAUUUUUUGUCUUUCCAUCUGUCAAAGGAAUGAACCAAACACGGAAAAAGUGGAGAAAUUUUAAUUGUGAUGGGAACACAGGUGGUACACCACAUGUUUUUAUGUAAAUGGUGGAAAGUUUUAUUUUUAAAAUUAUUAACUUUUUAAGACACAAAUUCCACCAUUUGUAUAAUGACACAUGAUGUACUACCUCGUGUGCCGAUCACACUGAAAAUCUUUCGAAAAAAUUAGGGGUUCGGUGUUUAGGGUUAGGUGCUACGUCGUUUGGUCUUCCUUUUUUAUCUUUGGUUUGUCGUUUAGGGUUUAGGUGGUAUGUCAUUUGGUCUUCUUUUUCUAUCUUCGGUUUGUCGUUUAAGUUUGGAGCUGUAUCGCAAUAAAUACGAAUAGGUGGUGUUCAUUUGUAUUUUGGCAUAGAUAAUGCUAGAAAGAUAAUAUAUUUAAAUUAAGUUGUAAAUUAGAUGAUGUGAAUAUUGAUGAUUGGAUAAUAAUUUAAAUAUUAAUUAACGUGUUUAUUUUUUAUUAGUAACACAUCAUACGAUUUACAUAUUUGGUCUCAUAAGUUAGUUUCGUCUGGAAUCGAAUCAAAUCUUGCAUAUUAGAAGUCAAUAUAAAGGUGAAAAAUCCUGCAGAAUGUUCAAUGAUGAGUCACUGUAUAUAUUAUAUGCAAAAUGCAUGCCACCAUAAAUCACAAAGGCAAAAGUGCAUAAUUUACAUUUACAUACUGGGUAUGAAUUAUCAUGAACGAUGACAACUUUGUCAUGUAACUUGCAUUAUCAUCGCACAUGGAAAUAAGAAAACGACAUUUAUAAAAACGUAACUCAACUUCGAAUGAAUCACAGUAUACGUAUAUUGAUCAGUGGUUUCUUGUGCAUUAGAUAAUUUACCGUCUAAUCUAAAUUAGUCCAACAUUUAGCAUAACUAUAAAUAUAUAUCUUUUUAAAUAUAGCAACUGGAAAGUGGCUGAAAUGAAAGAAACCAAAAUCUCUUCUAGAGUGUCGUCUGUCGGUGGAAAAAGAAGAGAAUGAGAAUGCGCUAAUCUUCUUAAUCAUGCACACGCAUGCAUGCAGCACUGAGCACUAAGCACGACUUCCUUCCCGAAUAUGGAUAGGUUUCACUGUUUUGUCCAUGGGGCCUACAGACAAAUAUCGGGGGACUUGAUUCACUUGAGCACUUCUGAAUUCUGAUAGAAUCAUAGUUCGCAAUGUGUAUCUUUCGGUGGAUCGGUGAUGAGGGUUCAACAACAUAUACCGUCCAUAACAAACCUACCUCUUUUUGCUCAAUUUUCUUCCCUUUUCCAUUUUCUUUUUGGUAAAAUUAUUUUUGGAUACAAAUAGACAAAUAUAUUGUACUAACCAACCAACCUAGUGUACAUAUAUAUGCAUACGCGUAACAUUCACUUCUUUUGCAAUCACAGAGGUUUACCAUAUCUAAUCUAAGGACUGAAAAACAUGCAUGUUGUUAUGAAACAACAUUUAAAGAAUAUUUUAUCAUAUAAAAUGUCAUUCACAUGUAAGCUAAUUUAGAAUUCAUUAGGGUUCCAUAGAUGGAUAAAAUAAUUUUUUUGCCAUUAGUUUUUAUUUCUUUAAGAGACUUCAUAUGUUUUUGUAGAUAGGAAGCAAUUAAAACCAUUACAAAGAUCAUAUAUAUGCCAGCAAACUUUAUUCUGUCUUGUUCCCAAAUUUUGUCGGCUGAAAAUUGUAUCCACCUUUCAAUCUAUAUGAUAUUAUGAUUGCAUAUUGCUAUAUGUUAAAAUAUUGAAAGCGUUACUUACCGCUCCGUGGUUCCGAACGCGUUUGCAAUCAUCCUGGCAAUAAACGAUAGAGAAAGAGAUCAUCUUCGGAUCUCUUCCAUCAAAAUUCACGGAUCAAGUGAUCAUCCAAACGGUUAAAAUUAUUAUAACUUUUAAAAGAGACCUUAGUUUUUAACCGUUUGAUCAAAUUUCAAUGACCCGAAUCACUUGAUCCGUGGACUUUAGUAGAAGAGAUCCGAAGAUGAUCUCUUUCCAAAUGAUACUUCACAUCUUACAAAUUAUAUCACCUUCAUCACAUCUUACAAUUUACAUCACCUACUCUCUUAAAUUAGCUCUUUAGGCAAUCAAAUUCGGUUAGGCAUAACAAUCACGUAACGAUACAAAAUGUCCCAUUCUUAUAGACAAAAACACAAGUCACAAUUUCAGUAGUAAAAAAUGCGUGCCCCAAUUGGUCCCCUAAAGCCAUUAUUUUUAUUUAUUUCCCAUCACAUCGAAAUCAUCAUGGAUUUAGUAUUACAAUCUUUUGGUAUUUCCCUUUACUUAUAGGUAAGAUGUUUUAAGUUUGAUUCUUAUAAUAAUAAUGACUUCUAUAUAACACGUUAUUAUGAUGAGCUAAUUGUAUGACUUAACUCAACUUUCUCCACUCUUCAACAUAAAAUACCAUUGCAUUGAAAUGAAAAAAUAAACAUUGAAAUCAUCCUAACCUUAAAAACGAAAAUUAUCCUAAACCCAAAACCUCACGAAUCCAACUAAGCAAAACUGGUGCGUCACCGAGUUUUAUUAGUGCAAGGACCACAUUAGUCCUUUCCACUUCCAGGGCCCCUUCUAGCCCACCCUACUGAUCUUUGAAUCACAAUCCAAAUCCGGCUCAUUUAGAUAGAGUCACGGUGACGUUGAUCUGAGUCAAUUCAUGGAACAGGCGGAAAGGUAUAGUAUGACACGUGGCGGUUGGGUAAUGGGUGAUUAACCACCCUCUUUGUUACUGACAAAUACUGGAAUAUUAGAUGAAGAUGUUUAUCUACAUAUGAUUUAUCUUAAGAUUAUUACAAUUUGCACAUUAUUUUAGCUGAUAUUUUAUCUACACAUGAAUAUUAGACACAAAUAUGGGUGAUUUUUGGUCAGAUCGGAUAAGGAAACAAGCAUUCCAAUACUAAUCUAAAAAUGUUUCGAAACCAAAUAAUAGUUCUAAUUUCGAAAUUUUGGAUUAAUUAUCGGUAAUUUUCAAUCUCCUAAUUUUGGACUGGAUAGAGACAUUCUAAUUGCCAUCUUAAUCUUUUGAAAAUUUUCAAAAUAAAAAAUAUUCAGACUCGAAACGUAAAAUUUUCGAUUGACAUUGAAAUUUCCAAUUCAAUUUGCACCCCUAGACACAUAUUAUAUUUCAACUGAUUACCAUCUCUUUAUUUUCUCUUUCACACUUGUACAGAUCAACGGUUCAAAAAUCACUCAUCUGCAACUAGAUUCUAGAUGACUGAACUUAGUACAUUCCUUCAUAAAUAAAAUUCUUUUGGUUUUAAAUAUAUGGUUUUGGUGAGUUUUUCAGUUUUCAGUAAUUCACCUCUCGCCAGCUUCAUUGCUCACGUCAAGCGCACUAUGCCUUCACACGCCUUGUAUAAUUUGGCUACGGUCAUGCUUGCUUGGCUGCAUUUGAUAAAUCGAAUCUUCUCCACCGUCUAACAGUCUGAAGAAUCGCGACUUAUCGGCUGAACUUAUUUGACUCAAUAUAUAUGAAACUAAAACGCAUGCAGGACCUUCUUGAAAUAAUAUAAGUAUUUAUAUGUGUGUGUGUGUGUCGGUGUGUAUAUAUAACAACCACUAGUUAGUUAAUAAUGAUGUUCAAGAUAUUGAUGAGGAUGGCAAGAUUCUGCAGUGUGGUAGCCAACAGAGACAAGAAACUUGUAUGAUUAUUCUGCGAUCCAUAUCUGUCAAUCAUGAAGCGAUUAAAGUUGAACUCGUCUUCGUUAUUCUGCGAUCCAUAGCUUUGAAAUCAUUAUUAUUAUUAUUGAAAAACAUUCAAAUGAACUUAAAUAUUUUUUCAAAUCAUUUAAUUUGAAAUCAUUCAGCAAACUAAAGUUUUGAUGGUUUGAAAUUAUUCCGUAAAAUUAAAAAUGAAUGUUAUAAGAUUUGAGAAAUGUGAGGUGUAUAAAAAAUGUAGGGUGUGUAUAGAAAAUGUAAGGUGUAUAUUAAGAAUGUGGGGUGUGAGGGUAUUAUGGGGGAUGAAAUGGGGUGUAUUAAGAUAAUUUUUAGGGGCAUUUUGAUACAGGCGCCUCGUUUUUUAAUUUUUUAGACUAAACAUACACUCCUUUUGAAAAUUUGAUCAAACAUUUUCCUAAAAUUUUGGUUAUUAAUUUCAGUUCCUAUUAUCCCUAUUAUCCCUAUAUUUAUGCAUUUAUUAUCCAUCUCCUGGGCAUUUCGUUUUUUUUUUUCCUAUUAUCCCUAUAUUUAUGCAUUUAUUAUCCAUCUCUAUGCAUUUUUUAUUGUUUUUUAUAAUAUUUACUUCUUCUUUUUUUGUGAAUAUAGUAGAAUAUUUAUAAAAAAAAUUGUCAAAUUUUAUUAUUUAGAAGACCCAACACAUAGUAAAGAUUUGUUUGAUUAUAUACCUACGUCUAGUUACCUAUAAUAUGGACACAUUUAGUUUUAUAGUGGAUUUGAUUUUUUGUAUUUCUUGGUACAUUUGGAAUGUAAAUGUACCAAAAGGGUUAUCUGAUAGAGGCAUUUGGUUUUGUGGUACAUUUGAGAUUUUGUUCAUUUGGUCUUUUGGUACAAUAGGAAUCUAAACGUACCAACAUGAUUACCUAACAAUGGACACAUUUGGUUUUAUGGUACAUUUGAAAUUUUGGUACAUUUGGUUUCUCUGUAUAUUUGAAAUCUAAACGUACCAAAAAGGUUAUAUAACAAUGGGUACAUUUGGUUUUUAUGGUACAUUUGAAUUUUUGGUACAUUUGGUUUCUCGGUACAUUUGAAAUCUAAACGUACCAAAAGUCGAUACUUUUGUUCUCAAAUGUACCAUAAGUUUUAAGUAUAUUUUUAAUAUAUCUAUACAUGAAAAAAAUAUGUAUUGAAGACUUUUUAUUGAUACAAUUUUAAUAGAAAGAGUAUUGUUUUUUAAAUACUGAUAAUAAGGAAAUGAAGAAUUAGUUAAUUAAUUUUUUAUUUUAUUUUAUUAAAAAAAUGUCAUUUAAUGCGCAGAAGGGGAUUGAGGAAAUUAAAUUCCUAUAUUAUAGGCAAUUAGUUGCUAAGCUACCUUAUGCCUAUAUAUAAAUGCAUUUAAAUUAAUGACAUGGAAAUUAAAUAAAUAGAAAAUUAUUGAGGUGGCAAUUGAUUGAAGCACCUUAAUCAAAUCUUUAAAAGGGAUGAAUGUUUAAUCUAAAAACUAUAGAAAAUAUGUAGGGCAUUCUAAUUUUCCCUAAUUUUUAAUUGAAAAUGUAAAUAUGAGGUGUAUUAAGUAUGUGAGAUUUAUUUAACAAUUUAUGGGAUGUUAAUAUAAUAAGCCUAAUUCUAUAUGUUAAAAUGUGAACAACGUUAACGCCAAGACCUGCAUUAAUAUAUAAUUAAAUUUGAUCAGAUAAAAUAAAAAAGAUUCCAUGUACUAGGAAGGCAGCCAAGAAUAUUACACAUGCACACACACACACAUAUAUAUAUAUAUAUAUAUAUAUAUAUAUAUAUAUGUAUGUAUACGUGAUGACUUUUAUUUUAUAAGUUGUAUUAAAUAUGUUACCAUGCAAGUAUAGGCGCCAAAUGCCUAUAUGAUUGGGAAAAAGCAAACAAUAAAUAAAUAAAUAUGAAACCUUAACAAGCCCAGGAGUCGAAUCCCUUUUCUGAAAAACAGUCCACGGUGGUAGUAGUAAACCCCUUAAUAUUUAUAUAUAAGAGAUUCUUGCUUCUCUCAGUACCUUUUUGAAGCAAUUUUCGUUCUUCAUAUUUUUGUAUGUUCAAUAUCUUUUCCUCCUCACGGGUAAACAAAUAACAAUAGAGGCAUAUUUGUAAGUGGUGGACUAGUAUGUUAGAAAAUUCUCUUGUUAGUCUAAUUGUGUUUCGAACCCAGACUCUUCUCUCCUUCCUCCUCCUUUAGUCUAACUUAGUGGCAAAGCCCAUAAAUUAGAAAUAAAAUAAAUAGAUAGUAUUUACAAGAGAGUAUAAUACAUGCUUGGAGUUGUGAGCUAAUUAAAUUUUUUUAGGUGCUAAAUGCUUUUUUUUCCAUGUUGAAAUUAACCUUCCAAUAUCAAUAUCAAGUCAAUAUAGAGAGUUAUCAAUAAAAAAUUAAGGAGGAUUAAGAGAAACUAACCUACAAAUAUCAAGUCAAUAAAAAUGCAUGCUAGGAAGACCAUGUUUUUAGAUCAUAUUUGGAAACCACAUGAUGUGGCAGUUGAUGAUCGGAUUCAUUUUUUAAUGAUUUAAGGAAGUAGUCCAUAACCACUAUAUUAUCAUGUGGUCUCGAAAUAUGGCCAAGUAGGUGGUCUCUCUAUCAUCACCCAAGUCAAUAGAAAAUGGAUUGGGAAUUUGGAGAACAAAAUAUAUGAAACGUAAAAAUUUAGUAAAAAGUUAGAGAGAACAAAGAGAUUUACAAACCUUAAUAGUGUUGUGGGUUGGGAAUUUAGAGGAUAAAAUAUAUGAAAUUUCAAGAAGGGGAGGAUGAAAGCUCAAAGUUUAUGAUUCUUCCAUUAGCAAUGUAAAGAAUGCUUUUGAUAAAACAAAAUCAGACUUUAGGUUUUAAUUUUAAGAGUUAAUAAUUGUUUAAGUGACAGGUUUUAGGUUCGAUUAUCGCCAAAACAAAUUCAAACCACAUUAUUCCUAGCUCAUUGUGAGGUUAAGCCCAUUCCCUCCCCCUAGUGUAGAUAAUAUUGUUUAUUAAAAAAAAUGUUAAAUUUAGUUUUAGGACAAGUGUUGUUGGGAUUGAACAAGAAAUGAGACCUCUUAUUUUAACUAUUAAUGAAUACAAUUUAAAAGUUUCGUGUAAACUACAAAAAAUAUAACACUAAGUUCACCGGAAAAAAAGCAAGUAUAAUACUAAAUUAUUGGCUUAAAUGUCAUAAUGAUCAAUGUGUUAUAGCCAUAUGGCCAAUUUAGUCCCCGUGUUUUCGAUUUGGCUAAUUUAGUCUUUGUGUUUGUCUCUGUUAGCCAAUUAAAGAUAUUUCAUUCAAUCUAUGUUAAAAAUUUCAUAAGAAAAAUCAUAAGAGAUAUAGUUACCCUUUUUAUUUACAAAUAUGAAAAAUAACACACAUAAGAGAUAAAACUUUCAAUAUGAAAAAUGAUUAAGGUAGUGACAUAGAAAAGAAAGGGGGUAACGUUAUGAAGGAGGUUGGGAAGUUAGGAGGAGAAUAAUUUUUCUUUUAAUUUUUUAUUUUAUUUCAUAUUUAAAUAUUUCAAAUCAAAUAAAUAAUUCUAUAAAUAAGUCUAUAGUAGUUUAUAAUUUUUUUCACAAAAAUUAAAUGAAAAUGUCUUUAAUUGACUAACGAAAAUAAACACAAAACCAAAUUGGUCAAAUUGAAAACAUAUGCACUAAAUUGAUCUAAUGAUUAAAACACAUGAACCAUUAUAACAUUUAAGCCUAAAUUAUUUAGAAAGGAUUAAAGAGGAAGGGUAGGCCUAAGGCCUGCCUGCGCCUCUGGUCUAACUUAGGGGGGUGUAUUCAAUUGGGAUUUUGAAGGAUUUUAAUUAUUUUUAAUGAAUCUAGACGUUUUUAAUCAGGAUUUUAAGUGAUUAUCUGAAAUUCAAUGUGUAUUCAAUUAGGAUUUUAAGAUAGUUUAUUAAAAUCUUUAGAAAUCCGAGUCUAUUCAAUUAGAAUUUUAAAGAAGUUUAUAACAUUUCAGUUGUAUUCAAUUAGAAUUUGAAUUUAAAGAAUUUGGAAAAUUUGAGGAAUUAGAGGGAAUUGGAGAGAUAUUGUAGUGUAUUUUAAGCAUUCACAAAUCUCACCUCUCCCCAUGAGAUUUUGAUGGAAUUGAAUCAAAAUUUUACAUGGAAUCUCUAUAAAUCAAUUAAACUCCAUAAAAAUUCAUGAAUUUAUAAAUACAUUGAAAUAUCUCAAAUUCCCAAUUGAAUACACAUUCCUUAGUAAUAAAAGAAAAAGAAUUAUAGAAGUGGCGCUUUUAAACAAUGCAUAGCUAUGCGAUAAUUUGUUUUGUUUUUUAGUAUAAGCCUUUCUAGCUUACCAAGGAUUAUGAGAAAAAAGUCGAUGACCAUUACGAUGAGGCAUAUAUAUAUUUAUAUUAAAUGAUUAGAGGAGUGGGUUAAAUUUUACAAUGAGUUUAUCAUAAUAAUGUGAUUUAAUUUUACUUUGACGAGAAUCGAAGUUAAAACUUUUUAUUUACGAGUAAAUAAAAAUACAACUAAAUCGUAAUAUUAAGUGAUUAUUUUGUUCCGAUUGGUGAGACAAAUUGUGAAAACUGUAAAUUAGAGUACUCGUCUGUCCAUACAUGCCUACCUUCUCUUGUCUUGGUUUCAGUAGUUAUCGAAAUCUCCGCACUCCAUAAGUUUUUGGCCAAGUUUUAUAGGCCACAAUUUGCCUACCCCACCCACACUCACAAAACAAAACAAAGAGAACCCCAAAAAAGUUAACAAGAACACAACUGUGGUCACAUGUAAAUGAAACAGUAAGCUUAACUCAGCUGACAAGUUACUCUGCCAGAUCUAUCAGAUCUAUCCUUUCCCUCAUAUCAUUGCCUAUAAAUAAUGGAGCUUCGUUGGCCACUUAGGCUUAAAGCAGUAUAGGAGAGAGACGCCAAAAUAAGAUGGAACAUAUUGAGGAGAAAGGCAGCCAUGCUGCAAGGAAAAAGGGAGGCUUGGUCACUAUGCCAUUCAUCUUUGGUAAGAGCUAAUAAAUCUUGUUGUUUCAAAUUUUCGAGUCAUACUUGAGUGUAGCCAAGUUAGCUAGAGUAGUGUGCUCAUCUUUUUACACGUAAAUUCGAAUUUUCUUUCCAUACUUAUGAUGAAAUUAGCAUAGAUUAUCAUGUCGUUGUUCAAUUCUUAUUAUGUAUCUCUUUAUUUAUUUGGUUUUUUGUUUUGGGGAUUUUAAUUAUUGUUGUUGUUGGCUUUGUGUGUGUGUGUGUAGCUAAUGAGAUUUGUGAGAAGUUGGCUGUGGUGGGAUUCGGUGCAAAUAUGAUAAGCUACUUGACAUCGCAGCUUCAUAUGCCCUUAACAAAAGCAGCCAACACCCUCACCAACGUUGGUGGCACUGCAAGCUUGACCCCCUUGCUUGGCGCCUUCAUUGCUGAUGCCUACGUUGGCCGCUUCUGGACUAUCACUGUUGCUUCCAUUAUAUACCAGAUUGUAAUCUCUCUCUCUCUCUCUCUAACUAGUUUUCUAUAUAUAUUAUUAACACACAUGAUAAAGAUUAUGCGCUUGUAAAUUUACAUCUCAAUUGAUUAAACACCUUAAGAUUUGCAACUCAUUGAUUACUCGUGCACCCAAAGUUAUGUGGGUUUGCUCACCCAAUAUCUAUUGUAUGAAAAAUAUUAAGAUUCUUAUCAACUUCAUCGUCACAAGAUUAAUAGUUAUCAUCGAGCCAUUUUUUAUUCAAAAAUUAUUAAUUAGGCCGACUUUCUAACCAUUCUUUCGUGGUGGGUUUUCCAAAAAAAAAAGAAAGAAGUAGAAUUUGUCACAAGUGGACGUAUUUAAUUUAAAAUUAUUAAAAGCAUUGUCCAAUAUGAUUGAUUGAGUUGAAUUUUUUAAUUCUCUGUCACAAUCAAGCUCUCAGAGUAUUGAUAAAUUACCUUGUUAAUUUUAUUUGUUUAUUAAUUAAAUACUAAUUAUAAUUAACUUUUGUAUUUGUACAAUUAAUCAAUGAACCAGGGAAUGAUUUGCUUAACAGUAUCAGCAGUACUUCCACAACUGAGACCUCCCCCAUGCAACCACGGCCAAGUGUGCGAAGAAGCCGACGGGGGGCAGCUAGCAAUUCUGUAUGUCUCCCUCCUACUAGGAGCACUCGGGUCGGGUGGAAUCCGACCCUGCGUGGUGUCAUUCGGGGCAGAUCAGUUCGACGAGAAUGACGAAAAACAAACCACCAAGACGUGGAACUACUUCAACUGGUACUAUUUUGCGAUGGGGGCAUCAAUACUAUUGGCUGUCACGGUGCUUGUGUAUAUUCAAGACAACAUUGGAUGGGGUUGGGGACUUGGAAUUCCAACUGUAGCCAUGUUUCUCUCAGUUGUUGCGUUUUUGAUCGGGUACCAUCUUUACCGGCACUUGGAUCCGGCGGGGAGUCCGUUUACCCGGUUGAUACAAGUGGCGGUGGCUGCCUACAAGAAGAGAAAGCUGUCUAUGGUGUCUGAUCCUAGAAUGUUGUAUCAGAAUGAUGAACUCGACGGUCCUAUUUCAUUGGGUGGAAAGCUUCUUCACACUAAGCAUAUGAAGUAACUCUCUCUCUUUCUCUCUCUCUCUCUCUCUCUCUCUCUCUCUCCCUCUCUCUCUCCCUCUCAUGUUGCAUGUGUAUUGUGGCUCUAAACCACUAAUUAAGUUGAUUUUUGUCAAAAUGUUGGCCCUAAUUCAUCAUUUAACAACAUAAACUCAAUAAUAUAAUUAUAUAUACACAGCACUAUCGUAUCACGUUUUGCAGUAAGAAAAUAAGAUAAUGCAUGAAACUAUCACAUGAACUAUUUUCACUAUAUAUGACCUCUCAUAUAUUUCAUUAUUUCUCUGUCUUUUGCUAUAUAAUAUGAGAAUCUUAUACGAUAAAAUACAUGGUUUCUACGAAAAUCCCUAAUCCUAUUUCCACUACAAUAAAAUAGGAUUCCUGCCAAGAAAAGUCUCGAUUAUACACAUAUACAUAUGUUAAGUCUAGAAGAUGAACAUAAUUAUCAGGGUUAGGUGGAAACAGGUUGCAGGUAAUGACUAGGUCGUUUUGUCCAUGCACUGCUCAUGUUUUGGAUGUAGGGACCACAAUCCCUUGACCUUUCAUGGAUGAGCUGCACCACGUACUUCUGUUUCUGUCACUGCUAUGCAACAAAAAUCUCACGUCCUCUGCUCUAUUAGCAGAGACUCAGAGUCAUCCCCACCUCCAGUCCAUAGCGACCCAACAAAUAUAUAGAAAGGAAGAACAUGCGACCUAGUCACUUUUUGAAUUUCCACAACGUGGCUGCACUUAGCUUCACAUGUGUGCGAGUCUAAAUCAUUGGUUAACUGAUACAGACAGUUUAGGUUUAAUAAAAUUCAUAUCACGAUAAUUGGACGGUUAAGGUUUCAUUAAAUUGAUUGUUUGUAUGAUAUAAGCGUCUUAUCUUGAUAGACUGUUUAACAAUUUAACAACGUUACAUAUGGUGAAAUAAUGCAGAUUUCUUGACAAGGCAGCGAUCGUAACGGAGGAGGACAAUCUCAAAGCACCAAACCUAUGGAGGAUCAACACCGUUCAUCGCGUCGAGGAACUGAAAUCAAUAAUCAGAAUGGGACCUAUAUGGGGAUCAGGAAUACUCCUCAUCACAGCCUAUGCCCAGCAAAGCACAUUCUCACUCAACCAAGCCAAAACCAUGGACAGGCACCUCACAAAGUCCUUUGAAAUCCCUGCAGGCUCCAUGUCAGUCUUCACCAUAGUGACCAUGCUCACCACGAUCGCCUUGUACGACCGCAUCUUCAUUAAGGUGGCUAGAAAGUUCACCGGGCUAGACCGGGGAAUAACAUUCCUCCAC